rnacentral:tRNA from 1 species
GGCCAUUCCGAUGGGCAACGGGAAACGGUCUGUAAAACCGUCGGCUCAGCCUACGUUGGUUCGAACCCAACACCUGCCACCA